AAAUGAAGUUUUCGGAUGGAUUUUUGAUUGACUGAGUGGCGGACGGGUGAGUAACGCGUGGAUAACCUGCCUCACACUGGGGGAUAACAGUUAGAAAUGACUGCUAAUACCGCAUAAGCGCACAGUACCGCAUGGUACGGUGUGAAAAACUCCGGUGGUGUGAGAUGGAUCCGCGUCUGAUUAGCCAGUUGGCGGGGUAACGGCCCACCAAGCCGACGAUCAGUAGCCGACCUGAGAGGGUGACCGGCCACAUUGGGACUGAGACACGGCCCAAACUCCUACGGGAGGCAGCAGUGGGGAAUAUUGCACAAUGGGCGAAAGCCUGAUGCAGCGACGCCGCGUGAGUGAAGAAGUAUCUCGGUAUGUAAAGCUCUAUCAGCAGGGAAGAAAAUGACGGUACCUGACUAAGAAGCCCCGGCUAACUACGUGCCAGCAGCCGCGGUAAUACGUAGGGGGCAAGCGUUAUCCGGAUUUACUGGGUGUAAAGGGAGCGCAGACGGCGAUGCAAGUCUGGAGUGAAAGCCCGGGGCUCAACCCCGGGACUGCUUUGGAAACUGUAUGGCUAGAGUGCUGGAGAGGCAAGCGGAAUUCCUAGUGUAGCGGUGAAAUGCGUAGAUAUUAGGAAGAACACCAGUGGCGA
rnacentral:rRNA from 1 species